rnacentral:rRNA from 1 species
CGGCGGACGGGUGAGUAACACGUGGAUAACCUACCUAUAAGACUGGGAUAACUUCGGGAAACCGGAGCUAAUACCGGAUAACAUGUUGAACCGCAUGGUUCAACAGUGAAAGACGGUCUUGCUGUCACUUAUAGAUGGAUCCGCGCCGCAUUAGCUAGUUGGUAAGGUAACGGCUUACCAAGGCAACGAUGCGUAGCCGACCUGAGAGGGUGAUCGGCCACACGGGAACUGAGACACGGUCCAG